rnacentral:tRNA from 1 species
GGAAGGGUGUCCGAGUGGCCUAAGGAGCACGCCUGGAGAGCGUGUAGGCGGCCCAAACCGCCUCGUGGGUUCAAAUCCCACCCCUUCCGCCA